AGAAUUUUCUAGCUUAUUAAAUGACAACAGAAUUUUAUAAUGUUCUUGCUUUUUCUUUGAAAAUGUUUAUAUCAUUUAAUUUGACUGGUUGGUCAUGCACUCCACAAAAAAUAUGACUCUAUUAAGGAACUACUAAUUGCAGGGCUCAUUCUCCCUCCUACAAACUUCCUGCUGAUGGAUGAUGUUUUGAGGGGCGGGCUGUCGAGACACUAAUGGUGGUAAUGAUGUGUCACAGUCUCACAGAUUGAGUAGCAUUAUGGCUAACGAACACGCUAUUAAUUAGCUUGAUCACAGGGUGGAAUAUGAUCUGAGUGUUAGAAGCCAGUACAAUCAAGGCUUGUGAUUCAUCCACUGACUGCUCCUGUACUCAGCCCGGAAAUGACCAUAAUGAGAGUUUUGCACGCAGCUUUCAAAAUUUGCUUGAUCAAAGCAGAUUCUAACCUCGACGAGGUACUUUGCUGUGCAUUGAAUUUUGACAUCCACAUUUAAAGCACGACGGAUUGCUUUAAGAAUCUGGGUAUCAUUGUACUGGUGACCGCGAGCAAUUCCACCAUUUUGUAAAACACGCGCGAUAUUGUUCCUGUGCAACAGAUCCAGUGCUUUAGCGAAGUAUUGAGUUUGAUUGAAGAGGGUAAAGGAAGCCCUGCCAUGGUUAUUCCACUCGUGUGCCCAAAAACCAUCAUCAGGCCCAAGCGUUGCUCCGGAGUUGACAAAUGGCCAUAGACCAUGGAUGGUGAAAUCGGAUUUCACCUUACUCACUACGCAACGGGUACCAAGGGAAGCACAAUAGCCUGGGGGCCAUAUGAGUGCCAAACCAAAGCCAUCCCAUUGGUUUUUUUGGUAACUCUUGGUUACAAGUAAAAAGAAAAUAAGUAAACUUAAAGUAAUUUUCAUUGUGUGUAUGUCUUCUAAUUUGCAGACUGAUGAGAUGUGCUGUGUGUAAUGCUAAGCAAGCUCAAGUAUUAUGUGUGCGUUUAUAUAGGCUAUAAGCCACUGCCUGUCAUUUUCUUAGUUGUUAAUUAUUUCCUAUAAAUGAAUGAAUUUGUUUGUUUUACUCCACUGUAAUGUCAUUCUACAUCAGGUAGCUCUAACUGAAUUUGUUUUACUUCAUUCUCAUUUGACUGCAUUUGUUUUUAUUCAUUGAGAUUAUUUUGCUUUGCUCUGGUGGAUCACAGGGUGGAAUGUGAAGUGUUAGAAGCACAUGUUAUUCAUCCAUUGACUGAUCCUAUACUCAGCUCAUGAUCGGGAAUGAAGUGACCAUAAUGAAAGCUCGUUACGUUUUUGGAGCUGACUGACUAGUGACUAGUUAGUAUGCAACAAGACUGUACCCCUUGGCUGGCUCGCAUAGUACUAACUACUAAAUUCAAAGCCCGGUUAAAUUCAAAGCCCUUAGCUUGCCCUCCGGCCUGCUCCUAUUACUGCAUUCAAUUGAGACAUUAAAAUUAGUUUGACAGUUGGGAUGGGAAACUUUUGCCAAACUUGUCCUCCUGCAAAUUGAGGUUGCAUGUCAGAAACUUUGCCAAACUUUUCCGUAUUUGUACUAUUAAUUAUUGUAGUUUAAUUUUAAUGCUAAUUUUAUGUUCA